rnacentral:tRNA from 2 species
GCCCUCGUGGCCCAAUCCGGCAGAGGCGCCAGGCCGAGGUCCUGGUCACGUGCGCGUUCGAGUCGCGCCGAGGGCA